rnacentral:rRNA from 1 species
AAUGAACGCUGGCGGCAUGGCUAAGACAUGCAAGUCGAACGGACCAUAUAAUUGGGUAACCGAAAGUAUGGUUAGUGGCGAAAGGGUGAGGAAUAGAUAGGAACGUACCCUGUGCUCUGGGAUAGCGUCUGAAGCUUCGGCUUCUUCCGAAAGGGGCGGUAAUACCAGAUAAUGUCCUUCGGGACCAAAGAUUUAUCGGCAUUGGAGCGGCCUAUCUCCUAUCAGCUUGUUGGUGAGGUAACGGCUCACCAAGGCAACGACGGGUAGCGGGACUGAGAGGUUGGCCCGCCACAUCGGGACUGAGACACUGCCCGGACCUCCACGGAGGGCUGCAGUAACGUGAUAUUGUGUGCAAUGGUGCGAAANUNGCCUGACCCANNGCAAUGNNCCGCGUGCAGUGAUGANAGCCCCNUAGGGGUGUAAACUGCUGUCAGGGGUCAGAAAGCUGGUUUCGGCCAGUUGAUCAACCCCAGAGGAAGUCACGGCUAACUUCGUGCCAGCAGCCGCGGUAAUACGAAGGUGGCAAGCGUUAUUCGGAAUCAUUGGGCUUAAAGGGCACGCAGGCGGAACAGUGUGUGUUGUGUGAAAUCCCCCGGCUUAACCGGGGAAUUGCACAGCAAACUGCUGUUCUUGAGGCAGGUAGGGGUGCAUGGAACUCUUGGUGGAGCGGUGGAAUGCGUAGAUAUCAAGAGGAACGCCAGAGGUGAAGACGGUGCACUGGGCCUGUCCUGACGCUGAGGUGCGAAAGCGUGGGGAGCGAACGGGAUUAGAUACCCCGGUAGUCCACGCCGUAAACGAUGUCUACUAGGUCGUGGGUGUUCUGACACAUUCACGGCCGGAGCAAAAGUGUUUAGUAGACCGCCUGGGGAGUACGGCCGCAAGGGUUAAACUCAGAUGAAUUGACGGGGGCUCACACAAGCGGUGGAGCAU